rnacentral:ncRNA from 1 species
GAUUUAUUCUCAUUUAUCUGCAUGUCAAAGUAAAUAAAUUCAACCAAGCAUGGGUAAACGGCAGGAGUAACUAUGACUAUCUUAAGGUAGUCAGAUUCAUCAUCAUCAAAUUAGUGACGCGCAUGAAUGGAU